GGUAUGCUUCUUCGGAACAGAGACCGGCGCACGGGUGCGUAACGCGUAUGCAAUCUACCUUUUACAGAGGGAUAGCCCAGAGAAAUUUGGAUUAAUACCUCAUAGCAUAGCAACUUCGCAUGAAGUCACUAUUAAAGUCACAACGGUAAAAGAUGAGCAUGCGUCCCAUUAGCUAGUUGGUAAGGUAACGGCUUACCAAGGCUACGAUGGGUAGGGGUCCUGAGAGGGAGAUCCCCCACACUGGUACUGAGACACGGACCAGACUCCUACGGGAGGCAGCAGUGAGGAAUAUUGGACAAUGGGCGCAAGCCUGAUCCAGCCAUGCCGCGUGCAGGAUGACGGUCCUAUGGAUUGUAAACUGCUUUUAUACAGGAAGAAACCCUGGUUCGUGAACCAGCUUGACGGUACUGUAAGAAUAAGGAUCGGCUAACUCCGUGCCAGCAGCCGCGGUAAUACGGAGGAUCCAAGCGUUAUCCGGAAUCAUUGGGUUUAAAGGGUCCGUAGGCGGUUUAGUAAGUCAGUGGUGAAAGCCCAUCGCUCAACGGUGGAACGGCCAUUGAUACUGCUAAACUUGAAUUAUUAGGAAGUAACUAGAAUAUGUAGUGUAGCGGUGAAAUGCUUAGAGAUUACAUGGAAUACCAAUUGCGAAGGCAGGUUACUACUAAUUGAUUGACGCUGAUGGACGAAAGCGUGGGUAGCGAACAGGAUUAGAUACCCUGGUAGUCCACGCCGUAAACGAUGGAUACUAGCUGUUGGGAGCAAUCUCAGUGGCUAAGCGAAAAGUGAUAAGUAUCCCACCUGGGGAGUACGUUCGCAAGAAUGAAACUCAAAGGAAUUGACGGGGGCCCGCACAAGCGGUGGAGCAUGUGGUUUAAUUCGAUGAUACGCGAGGAACCUUACCAAGGCUUAAAUGUAGUUUGACCGAUUUGGAAACAGAUUUUUCGCAAGACAAAUUACAAGGUGCUGCAUGGUUGUCGUCAGCUCGUGCCGUGAGGUGUCAGGUUAAGUCCUAUAACGAGCGCAACCCCUGUUGUUAGUUGCCAGCGAGUCAUGUCGGGAACUCUAACAAGACUGCCAGUGCAAACUGUGAGGAAGGUGGGGAUGACGUCAAAUCAUCACGGCCCUUACGCCUUGGGC
rnacentral:rRNA from 1 species